rnacentral:rRNA from 1 species
UACGUAGGGGGCAAGCGUUGUCCGGAUUUAUUGGGCGUAAAGAGCGUGUAGGCGGCCAGACAGGUCUGCUGUGAAAACUCGAGCUCAACCUCGAGACGCCGGUGGAAACCAUCAGACUAGAGUCCGGAAGAGGAGAGUGGAAUUCCUGGUGUAGCGGUGAAAUGCGCAGAUAUCAGGAGGAACACCGGUGGCGAAGGCGGGUCUCUGGGCCGAUACUGACGCUGAGGAGCGAAAGCGUGGGGAGCGAACAGG